rnacentral:rRNA from 1 species
UACGUAGGGUGCAAGCGUUGUCCGGAAUUAUUGGGCGUAAAGAGCUCGUAGGCGGUUUGUCGCGUUUGCUGUGAAAACCCGAGGCUCAACCUCGGGCCUGCAGUGGGUACGGGCAGACUAGAGUGCGGUAGGGGAGAUUGGAAUUCCUGGUGUAGCGGUGGAAUGCGCAGAUAUCAGGAGGAACACCAAUGGCGAAGGCAGAUCUCUGGGCCGUAACUGACGCUGAGACGCGAAAGCGUGGGGAGCAAACAGG